rnacentral:rRNA from 1 species
AUUGAACGCUGGCGGCAGGCUUAACACAUGCAAGUCGAACGCGUGGCGGACGGGUGAGUAAUGCUUGGGAAUCUAGCUUAUGGAGGGGGAUAACUACGGGAAACUGUCGAUAAUACCGCGUACUAUAGGAUGAGCCCAAGUGGGUUUAGGUAGUUGGUGAGGUAAAGUCUCACAAAGCCGACGAACUCUAGCUGGUCUGAGAGGAUGACCAGCCACACGGUGACUGAGACACGGCCCAGACUCCUACGGGAGGCAGCAGUGGGGAAUAUUGCGCAAUGGGGGCAACCUGACGCAGCCAUGCCGCGUGAAUGAAGAAGGCCUUCGGGUUGUAAAGUUCUUUCGGUAGCGAGGCGUUAACUACAGAAGAAGCACCGGCUAACUCCGUGCCAGCAGCCGCGGUAAUUC